rnacentral:rRNA from 1 species
AACGAACGCUGGCGGCAGGCCUAACACAUGCAAGUCGAGCGAGACCUUCGGGUCUAGCGGCGGACGUGUGAGUAACGCGUGGGAACGUGCCCUUUUCUACGGAAUACCCUCGGGAAACUGAGCGUAAUACCGUAUACGCCCUUUGGGGGAAAGAUUUAUGGGGGAAGGAUCGGCCCGCGUUGGAUUCGGUAGUUGGUGGGGUAAUGGCCUGCCAAGCCUACGAUCCAUAGCUGGUUUGAGAGGUUGAUCAACCACACUGGGACUGAGACACGGCCCAGACUCCUACGGGAGGGAGGAGUGGGGAAUAUUAGACAAUGGGGGCAACCCUGAUCAAGCCAUGCCGCGUGAGUGAGGAAGGCCUUAGGAUUGUAAAGCUCUUUCAGCUGGGAAGAUAAUGACGGUACCGGCAGAAGAAGCCCCGGCUAACUCCGUG